UCUAUAAUUAUAUGUAUUCCUGAGGGAGUACGUAGACUGAAUUGCAGAGGUUUCAAUUAAACCACAAUAAUUAUGCAUGCAUCCUAAAAAAGGCUCUGGGUAUACAGGUGCAUGCAUGACUGUUAUGAAAAUACCACUUACCACAUAUUAAGCCCUUGAUGUAUUGGGUUUGUACCCAAGGGCAUGCAUAAUUAUGUAUUCCUGAGGGAGUACAUAGACUGAACUGCAGAGGUUUCAAACCACAAUAUGCCUAAGGUAUAGAUAAUUAUAUGCAUGACUUAAUCGUACUAUAAUUAUGAAAGUAUUCCUGAAGGGGAGCACAUAUAGAACAUGCAGGGUUCAAACCACAAUACACUCUAUAAGAUAGCCAUGCAUGCCAUGGUACAGGUGCACGACUUCAUGUUAUUAUUGACAACAGUUAUUUGAAAGUUUAAAGUGCUAUACCAUGCAAUUAAGGCCUAAAAGGUUGCACAGCUGGUUGUGUUAAUCUUUUAUCUCAGCAUUCUUGGGUGUUAUCACACCAGCAAGCCAUAAAGUGGGCUCCAUAAAGUUCAAUUAAUGUAAACCCAGUCUAUAGUUAUCUGGGCAUGCGCAGCUAGUACACACUUUUUGUAGGGUAUAUACUAGACUCGAUUCAGACCACCCCCGAAACUGGCCUCGCCUAUAGGCUCGCAGGCUAUAAAAUAGCUGCUGCAAAGCUACACACAUCAGUUUUUGCAUCAAUAUUCACAAUUAUAGUGUGAGUCAAGGCACACCAUUCUACUUAAAACUCAGUUCAAGGCUUGAGCUUUUCGAAUCAGUAUGACUCACGACGGUACCAACUAUCUUAGGAUAAAGGAAACUGGAAUAACUAUUGAUACUAGCUCAUACACUCAGGAUCGUCUUCGAGGUGAAGCACCAAGCCAUGGGUUUACUUGGAUUGACCGUUUCAAUAAAAAGCACUUCGUCAAGGUGACUUCAAGCAAUCAGCAAAUUAAUGUGAUGUUUCCUGUUAGUAAUCGUGAAGUCCGCUUUAGGGCAAGCGGUAUAGAUAAUCCUGGAGACGAACUCCGUACCGGCUGCGGUACAGAGCAUAGGUGGUGUGAGGCGACAUUCAUUUAUCAGAGCUCUGGCCCACAUGUAUUUAGCUCUGGCCCACAUGUAUUGGGUAAGUUUACUUUCUAUGAAGACAACGACAUUUCUUCCAGAUACACUGAUUGGGACAACUGGGAUCGGGCAAUAAAAACAGCCAAGGAUGGAGUUGACUUGGGCACAGCAAUCAAGUCUGCUGCUGGAUACUAAGGCAUGCAUGCAUGCAUGCAAUGAUGCUGAAACAAUCAAGGAGAGACUGAUGUAUACACAUGUAGUUUAAUAGUGUGACGUGCAUGGCUUACAUGCAGACUUAGAGUAGUUUCUAGACUAAUCUCCUUUGAUCUAAACUGGAAGUAGAUUACUGCACAAUCAUUAAUUUUGUGUGUCCAAAUACUUACUAUAGUUUUUGUGAAAGUGAUAAAAUCAAUCAGUUUAUAACAUG